rnacentral:rRNA from 1 species
GUACUUAACACAUGCAAGUCGAACGGGGAUCGUCGGGUUAGCAAUAAUUCGGCGGUCCUAGUGGCGUACGGGUGAGUAACACGUGGGCAACUUGCCCUUGAGACCGGGAUACCCUCUCGAAAGGGAGGCUAAUACUGGAUACGUUCUUCGGGUCGCAAGAUCUGGAGAGGAAAGGUGGCGCAAGCUACCGCUCUUGGAGAGGCUCGCGGCCUAUCAGCUAGUUGGUGAGGUAAUGGCUCACCAAGGCUAUGACGGGUAGCUGGUCUGAGAGGACGACCAGCCACACGGGAACUGAGACACGGUCCCGACUCCUACGGGAGGCAGCAGUGGGGAAUUUUCCGCAAUGGGCGAAAGCCUGACGGAGUGACGCCGCGUGGGGGACGAAGGCCUUCGGGUUGUAAACCCCUGUCAGAGGGAAAGAAGGGUGUCGGCGUGAUAACCGCCGGCACUUGACGGUACCUUCAGAGGAAGCCCCGGCCAACUCUGUGCCAGCAGCCGCGGUAAGACAGAGGGGGCAAGCGUUGCUCGGAAUCACUGGGCGUAAAGGGCGCGUAGGCGGGAUGGCAAGUCGGUCGUGAAAUCUCUCGGCUCAACCGAGAAACGUCGGCCGAUACUGCCGUUCUUGAGGGAUGCAGAGGAGACUGGAAUUCCCGGUGUAGCGGUGAAAUGUGUAGAGAUCGGGAGGAACACCGGUGGCGAAGGCGGGUCUCUGGGCAUUUC